rnacentral:rRNA from 1 species
AUUGAACGCUGGCGGCAGGCCUAACACAUGCAAGUCGAGCGAGCGGCGGACGGGUGUGUAAUGUCUGGGAAACUGCCUGAUGGAGGGGGAGAUCUCCUGGAGACGCUAUCUCAUACCCCAUACAAUCAGAUGUGACCACAUGGGAUUAGCUGGUAGGUGGGGUAACGGCUCACCUAGGCGACGAUCCCUAGCUGGUCUGAGAGGAUGACCAGCCACACGGGAACUGAGACACGGUCCAGACUCCUACGGGAGGCAGCAGUGGGGAAUAUUGCACAAUGGGCGCAAGCCUGAGGCAGCCAUGCCGCGUGUGUGAAGAAGGCCUUCGGGUUGUAAAGCACUUUCAGCGGGGAGGCGUUACCCGCAGAAGAAGCACCGGCUAACUCCGUGCCAGCAGCCGCGGUAAUUC